GAAAUGCGAUAAUUAAUGUGAAUUGCAGAAUUCAGUGAAUCAUCGAGUCUUUGAACGCACAUUGCGCCCCCUGGUAUUCCGGGGGGCACGCCUGUCCGAGCGUCAUUGCUGCCCUCAAGCACGGCUUGUGUGUUGGGCUUCCGUCCCUGGCAACGGGGACGGGCCCAAAAGGCAGUGGCGGCACCAUGUCUGGUCCUCGAGCGUAUGGGGCUUUGUCACCCGCUCCCGUAGGUCCAGCUGGCAGCUAGCCUCGCAACCAAUCUUUUUAACCAGGUUGACCUCGGAUCAGGUAGGGAUACCCGCUGAACUUAAGC
rnacentral:misc_RNA from 1 species